UACGUAGGGUGCAAGCGUUAAUCGGAAUUACUGGGCGUAAAGCGUGCGCAGGCGGUUAUGUAAGACAGGUGUGAAAUCCCCGGGCUUAACCUGGGAACUGCAUUUGUGACUGCAUAGCUAGAGUACGGUAGAGGGGGAUGGAAUUCCGCGUGUAGCAGUGAAAUGCGUAGAGAUGUGGAGGAACACCGAUGGCGAAGGCAGCCCCCUGGGCUGACACUGACGCUCAGGCACGAAAGCGUGGGGAGCAAACAGG
rnacentral:rRNA from 1 species